UACGGAGGGUGCAAGCGUUAAUCGGAAUUACUGGGCGUAAAGCGCACGCAGGCGGUUUGUUAAGUCAGAUGUGAAAUCCCCGGGCUCAACCUGGGAACUGCAUUUGAAACUGGCAAGCUUGAGUCUCGUAGAGGGGGGUAGAAUUCCAGGUGUAGCGGUGAAAUGCGUAGAGAUCUGGAGGAAUACCGGUGGCGAAGGCGGCCCCCUGGACGAAGACUGACGCUCAGGUGCGAAAGCGUGGGGAGCAAACAGG
rnacentral:rRNA from 1 species